GCCUCCGUAGCUCAGUUGAUAGAGCGCUUCACUCGUAAUGAAGAGGUCACGGGUUUGACUCCCGUCGGAGGCU
rnacentral:tRNA from 1 species